AUAGGGAGAAGCUCCGGUGGAAAGAAAUCUAUUGGAUCCUGUGAUUUCAUCAAACAAGUAAGCAGUCUGUCACCUUUCCAAUCGAUAUAUCUGUUUACAAGAGGUGGUAGUUCUUACAAUUUCAACUGCAGAAGGGGAUGCAACGUAAGUAACUUAAACUUAAAGUAUACGUAUAGAAUUGUAAAUUCUUUGUGUAUAUAUGUUAUUAACAUAUAUUCCUGAGGUAAGAAUUGUUUUAUAGUGAUUUUAAUUUUAUAUCCAAGUAUUGAAUGUGACUGAGAGAAGUUAGUAGCUUAGACAUCGAUUCUAUUUAAAAAAAAUUGUUACAUUCAUGAUGACGGGAGCUUGAGCAAUAAAUUGCACAGGUAAAUAAAAGAAAAAAACUUCAUAGAAUUUGAGAGUUCAUGAUCCUAACAAAACAUUGUAAUCCAACAGUGUUAUUUGGUUUCUUGUGAAACGUUGUCUCGUCAACAAUCAUACAACAAAUUAUUUUCAUAAAGUGUGAAGGAAGGCAGAACCAUUUGAUAAGAUCUGCGCGCAUGCAUUCUUUGAUAUUAUCAGAAAAUUUAUAUUCAAAAGUAUUCGUGUUGGUUAAAUGACACUGAAAUUAAAAAUGAUUAUCAAUAUUUCAAAAUUUACAAUGAUCAAUCCGCGCAUUGGUUUUACAUCCAAUGUUGUAGAUGCUUAAUCAUACCUCUACGACGAUCAGAGUGUUUGUCUAGCAAAUAAAGCAUUAAACAAUGUUAUUGUAAUAUCUCACAAAAGAACUUGGAAUACUCUCAUUUACCACUACUUCCAUGACAAGGGGAGAUAAAUCUCGUUUUAGGCCAGGAAUGCAAAUUAUUCACACGAAUACACAUAUACAGUGCAUGCAUUUACUAUAGUUAACUUCGUUUUUUUUCAAAUACAUUUCACUUAUAUGAAUUGCAUAUUUACAAAUUCUUGUAUGUGAUUGGUCCGUUAUAAUGUUGAUUCUCUAGACAACAAUUCGAAAGUCAAAAAAUGGACAGAAGUAUCUUAGCACACAUGCACAUACUUACAACGUUUCGUCCAAUCAAAUUGCUUGAAUUUGCCUUCUAACUUUCAUAGUACAUACUUUUUACGUGUACUAAGUAACUACGCAUGAAUGACAACAAGGGUCAGAUUUCAUUGCAUCGUAAUCAAGAUAUUAAAAAAAAUUGCUACUGGCUAUUUUGAAAAUGUUGUGUUCCAAAUUAAAUAAAAUAGUGUGUGUAAUUAGUUUUCAAAAUAAUUUUUAAACACCCCAUUACUUAAUCUUUGGAUCUAACAAUGCUUUUGACAAUAAAAUAACACAUAUAGUUAUUUAUAACUUGAUUAGAGUACAAUGCCAUCUAAAAUUGUAAUAAUUUAUCUUCCAUGUAAUUACGUUGUACCCAAAAAUAGAGUCAACCAAGAAACCUUGUGAAGGAAAAUUAAAGCAAUUUGAUCUAUUUCCUCAUGAAUUGAUUGAUUAUUGAUUGCUUAAUGUCCAGUGACAGCUAUUUCAUGCAUGUAAACUAUCUACUAGUCUACCUAUGGGUACAUACCUGGGGCAGGUCCAUCCAAUUUUAAAAGGGGUUCGAACCCUCAAAAAAGGGGAGGGGGUCCAACUGUAUGUUCUUAUUCAAAGCAUUGAUCAUCACCCUCUUUUUGGACCUGCGACUGCAAACUAUCUACAUGGCUAUAUGUUUUAAAAUUUAUCAUGUAUAGUAAAUCACAGCUUUAUACCAAUACCAACAUACUUAGGCCACACCAAUUUAAUUUCUUGUUCUACGGAUUUUUGGACUCCAAAAUUUGGGGCGAGCGAGCGAUUUGAAAAUUUUAAUAAAAAAUAAUUAAUUUGCAAAUUUUUGAGGCGAAGCUUGAAAAGUUAAGGCGAGCGAUUAAUUUUUUUUUUGUAAACAUAAAAUAGUAGGUUUUGACAUUUAUUAAAACUUGAUUUAUCACUUGUACUUUGACUUUUCUUUAAUUUAUGAAGAAAUUUUUCCCUGUUCACCAAGAAAUAACUGAAUAAUUAAAUCUGGUCUAUAUAGGUAUGACUGACAAUGAGACAAUUUUCUAUUCAAGUCAUAAUCAGUUUGGGAACAACCCCUUAAUUUUAUAAAUAUCCCUUUUAUGAGGGGUCAAUAUAAGCAGGGACCUUCAUACUAAGUAAGUAAGUAUAGAAAGUCCCUGAUAAAAGUUAUUAUAUAUUUUUUUGUAAAAAAAAAACACUUUUUAGUACAAAAGGGCUCAUAUUUUCCAAAAGAACUAUAUAUCUAUCUGGUAUUAAAUGGUCAAAACAUGUCCAAGAAUUUUGUAAUAUUCCCGGACUUUUACCAUGUAAACAUAUUUACUUUAACAGUUCAAUAUUAUUUAAAAUAAGUGGAACCCCCUUUUAGAAAAGUGGUAUAAAAUAUGAUGUAUUUCUCCUCUUUUUGAGUAAAAAAUUAUAAGUUUUCAAAGGUUUUUUAGUAGCACUAUACAAAUUCUUGAAUAUAUAUUUUCAUUUCUACAUCGGUAAAAUGACCCCUUGUCUGAGGGAGGGUUGCUCCCAACCUGAUAAUGACAAAUACAGGUCAAAGUACGGCCUUUUACACAGGGCUUUGAUCCAGACCGUCAUCUAUAGCAAGCUAUAAAGGACCUUAAAAUAGUUAGUGUACAUAAUUCGAACAGGAAAACCAACGAUCUAAUUUAUAUAUCCAAACCGGCAAACGGGAAAAUACCAAUUAAUCGCAUCAACAAACGACAACUGCUGAACGACAGACCCCUUAAUCAAUCAGGACAGGUGCAUAAACAUGCAGCGGCUAUGGAUAGUUUUGUUUCGCCAGCAUACAAUAUAAUUGCAGUUAAAGGCAAAUCCUUUAGAAGUUCUUUGUACUUUAUUCUAACAAAGAACAUUUUUUGAUAGGGAAUAUGAAUAAGGGGAAAAGAAAGCAACGUUUUGUUCUUUACAGGUAUUUCCGCUGUUAUAUAUUUAUAUCGGAGCACUCCCAUUUUGGAUAAAUUGGUUUCAUGCUGAAACAAAUAUUCUGACAGAUAUUUACACAGUGUGGUGGGGUGCUUAUAGGUUUAAAAUCGUUUUAUAUACAGGUUUAGACUGUGAUUUAAAAAAAAAAAUGUUGAUAUCUUUUUAUAUCAUUUACAAAAAAACGGUGCGGGAAAUUGACAAGAUUACAUUUCCGGAUGCGGGAAGCGGGAAUAUAAAAAAAAUAAAAAAAUUCUGUUUUGAAAAAAAAUAUGUGCGGGCGGGUCCGUCGAACAAGGAUUUAAAUUGGUGUGGCCUUACACCAUGAUUACAAUCUUUUCAUUCUGGAGUCAAUAUCUUACAAUGAUAAUAGUGAGUAGUUUUACAAAACUAUAUAAAUGAGCUACACAUAGUCAGCCAAAACAUAUCAAUAGACUAAUUACAGGAUUACUCAAGUUGAAAAUAUGUGCUAAAUUGGAUAUUUUAUAGAAAGGUAUAUACUAUGAAAAUAAGAGCUUGGGGCAAGCCUCUCGCUCUAAUUUUCGUAGUAUAUACAGGCAACAGUAGUAUACCGCUGUUCAAAAUUCAUAAAUCGAUAGAGAAAAAAAACACAAAUGCGGGUUACAAACUAAAACUGAGGGAAACGUAUCAAAUAUAAGAGAACUUCGACACAACACCGAAACGUAACACACAUAGAAACGACUUUAACGGAACAAUUGCCAUUUUCCUGACUUAGUACAGGGCAUUUGAUGAAAACAUGAUGGGUUGAACCUGGUUUUGUGGCUUGCCAAUCCUCCCGCUUUAAUGGCAGUGUUAAUUAUAAGAUUAAAAUUACAACAUUACACGAUGGCAUUACAAUAAACAAUCAAAUAAAUGGGAGAAAAUAUAAGAUAGCUAUAUACCUUUCUAUACAAUAACCGACACUUAGAUUUGGCAAACAAUCGGGGGAAACUUGUAGAAAAAAAAACAUGGUUCUGAUAAAACCAGUGUAUCUUCGAAGACCAAUUGUCCGUUUCGGCGUUCGUGUGUUAGUGCUCGCCACAAGUGCAGGUGGACAUGAGUUCAGGUAAACUAAAGACUUUCAAAUUGCAAUUUAAUGCUUUUUUUUUUUUUUUGCACACAACAUUAAGGAGUUAUAGCACAGACUUAUAGACUCGGAGUCAAUAUCAUGUGUCCGAGUAAUGAGAUGUGUCUCCCUUCAGUAAAACGUAAAAUCACAAAAAUACCGAACGCCGGGGAAAAUUCAAAACGAAAAUUCCUUAAUAAAAUGGCAAAAUAUAAAGCUCAAACACAUCAAACGAAUGGAUAACAAUUUAAUACAAACGUUUCCUUAUAUAGAAAAUGAACAAAACGAACAGUUGUCAAAAAAUUUGGAACAGCUGUCAACAUAGUGUCAAUGUCUUAAUCACAAUAAAAACAGGGUCGGAUCCAGCCAUUUUAAAAAGGUGGUGAUCCCAACCCAGAGUAAGAGGGGAAAACUAUAUGCUCCCAUUCCAAUGUAUUGAUCGUCCAAAACAAAAGGGAGAUUCAAGCCCCCGUCUACCCCUCUUCCCCGCUGGAGCCGCCACUGAUAAAACAAAGAAUUAUGUAACAAAGAAACUCACAAAGGCGUAUACACAAAGCACAUUAGCAAAAAUGAAAGACAAUAAUAUAAGAAUUUACCAUAGCACAAUAGCACAAUGACGGGUUGUGCAUUAGAACAAAGCCACGUUAAAUGGAUUUUAUUCUAUGACAAGGUAUUAAAUAAGAUGAUUAACAACUUCAGUACCCAGAAUAUAUAUACUUCAAGACCAUCAUGUAUUUUUGUGAAACUGAUACGGAAUAUUUAUCAACAAUGUCUUGGUACUUUCUACUCGGACACUGUUGACGUUUUACAAAGUCUGAGUAGCAGCUGCAAGCUCUUGAAAAACAAAUAUGUUGGGAAAUAUAUAUAUCCCAUACGCAGGCAAAGUUGUCACACCGACAGCAAAUUGGGGAAAAUUGAUAAUUUCAAUCAAAUCGUCUCGUUUGUUAUAGAUUCUGGAACUGAUAUGACCGUGUUUGUCUAAUUCGAGGUCUAAAAAUGAGGGGGAGGAAGCCGUGUCUGUUGUUUCUUAACUUUCUAGUUUUGAGGGAUAUAUUAAAGGGACCUAAUCAGAAAAUUUUGGAUUGUUAAUGGAAAGAACAUCAAUAUUUCUGAAUGUGAAAUUAAAUGACCUGGCUUCUUUGAUCUUAUUUUUAAUGAGUGUCUGAAGGAACACCGACUCAUAUGAAAAUAAUCAGAGGUCGGCAAGGAAAGGCGCACAGCUUAUUUCCAUAAGAAUGCCGAUAAUUUGUUGAAAAUGUCUACCUCCAAUUUCAGCAAAAAUGUUGUCAAUUAUAUUAAUGAAUAUUACCUUAGACACUAGCAUGUUAGAAAUCCGGCUCAGGAUACCGAUUUAGUACAAAUCAGGGUGAAUUUGAUAAAACAUUCAUACGUUUACGUCCUGAAUAUGCAUAUUAAUUUGCCGUUGGGCCUUUAGCAGUCAUCUAUAAGAAUCAUAUAAAGGUAGUUAUCUGUCUAUAACCUGCACAUUUUUCUGAGAUCUAGAUAUACUAUUGUUAUAUUCAUUCUCGUUUUCAGAAAAUUGGUCCAGAUUCAACAGGUUGUAAAUAUGAUCCCGUUAAAAAUGACAAACUUAACAUUUGCCUGGCAAAGAAUGCCCUGUGCAAACGAGAAAGUGGACGGUGUCGUUGGGUUAAUAAUGACGAAUGUUAACGUGGUAAUGAAAUCAACCAACCUAUACGUUUUCUUAAUGAUUAAUCAGUAAACGAAACUAUUAGUCAGACUUUCUGAUGUACUUGUA
rnacentral:lncRNA from 1 species